UCACCUCCUACUGUAUUGGAGCAGCAGCAGCUGACUGCCCAGGUCAAUAUCAGUUCACCGUCCCACCUCAUACUGUAUUGGAGCAGCUGACUUGAUCGUUGAUGCUAAUCAGCAUGUUUGAAUCUGAGAGUAAAUAGAGCCGACUACACUCUAAAAAUGAAGGGUUCAACUGGAGUUGUUCUCAGAUCCCCUAAGAACCGUAGGGUUCUUGGUCAAUAAUGAAAAACAGACCCAAAAGGUUCUUCAAAGAACUUGUUAGAAGGUGGGUUCAUCGAGGAACCUCGGUUGUUGCUGGACUUCUUCCGGGAACUUCGCAAUUACAACUGAAAACGAUGGUGACAAGUUUGGAUGCGACAACAGUUAAAAAGGACAGAACAUGGACACAAUGCAAUUGGGAUCAAGAAGAAGAUCUUGUCAGAAAUGAAUCAAGUCCAUGGAUUGGAUAUAGACAAAAAGAUAAUUCAAGGAUUAUCAGAGGUAGAGAGGCGAGGCAGUGGUGAGGACAUCAUCCUGCUAUUUUGACAGUCCCUGAAGGACAAUACAGAAGAGGGAUUUGCUCUUAUUCCUCCCCUUUCUCUAAUGUAUUUUGUAAUAAAAUUAGCAAGUGUAGUAACAUCAUUGCUUUACUUUACUAGGACUGGAGACCCCAGCAGCGAUUCUGCUCUUGCCCAACCUCUUCAAUGAGGACCCUUUAUGUCCGUGACAAGAUUUCACCACUCUUCACUCCUUUACUGCACAUCGGCAGAAAUCCAUUUCACCAUGAGAGUGAAAUCCCGCUGGCCUUUGAUGGGGAGAACAUCCACGCCCUUGAGGACGUCCCAAUGGGACUUGGGGCUCUGCUAGGGCUGUAUUUUUAUUUUCCCUUAAAUUUCCCAAAAAUGUCAGAAAAACACUUAUGUUGUUAAGUUACUGUGUUCUGGGGGAUAAGAGAAGUUGGGGUGGAGUUACCAGGGCCGGUCAUAAAGAUGGCAAACUUCCUAACAUAACUAAGUGGAUACAAUAUACACACUAAAGCUGAAAAAUCUGUAUUUAGCAUCAAGUCUACAAUAUUGUUAGUUUACCUAUGAUUCAUUUUUAAUGUAUGUUGUUUUUAUUGUACAUCAUUAUUAUUAUAUAUUUUUUUAAAUGUCAU